rnacentral:rRNA from 1 species
GAUCCUGGCUCAGAUUGAACGCUGGCGGCAUGCCUUACACAUGCAAGUCGAACGGCAGCACGGGAGCAAUCCUGGUGGCGAGUGGCGAACGGGUGAGUAAUAUAUCGGAACGUGCCCGGUCGUGGGGGAUAACGUAGCGAAAGCUACGCUAAUACCGCAUACGAUCUAUGGAUGAAAGCGGGGGAUCGCAAGACCUCGCGCGAUUGGAGCGGCCGAUAUCAGAUUAGGUAGUUGGUGAGGUAAAGGCUCACCAAGCCGACGAUCUGUAGCUGGUCUGAGAGGACGACCAGCCACACUGGGACUGAGACACGGCCCAGACUCCUACGGGAGGCAGCAGUGGGGAAUUUUGGACAAUGGGCGCAAGCCUGAUCCAGCAAUGCCGCGUGCAGGAUGAAGGCCUUCGGGUUGUAAAGCUCUUUUACUCGGGACGAUAAUGACGGUACCGAGAGAAUAAGCCCCGGCUAACUCCGUG